UAGGGAGGGAGUGACUAGUGACAGAGUGAGGGAGUGGGUGACACAGUGACAGAGUUAGGGAGGGAGUGACUAGUGACAGAGAGAGGGAUGGGGUGACUAGUGACAGUCACCACCUCCCUCACUCUGUCACUAGUCACCACCUCCCUCCGUCACUGUGUCACCCCCUCCCUCACUCUGUCACCAGUCAUCCCCUUACUCUGUCACUAGUCACCCCUCCCUUCCC